rnacentral:lncRNA from 1 species
GGGCCAAGGUGAUUCCCUUCAGCAACCUGAGCUGCAGUCGGUUGGCUCCUGGGCAGAAUUAGCGAGAGGUUAAGAGAGUUAUUUCUACUUGGUGACUAACCCCAUUUGAUUGUCUUAAGUGCGUCUGGCUUCUGGAGCGUGCUUUUAUUUCAGAUGAUUAUGAAUGUUCCGAGUGGACUCCUUGCCGCCCACCUGGCUUAAGGACUGUAAGGCACUUCGGAAAUCAAAUUUCAGGAAAGAAGAUUGGUUUGAGAAACAAUGAACGAGGAGAAAUCUUCUCUUUGCAGAGCUGCUGUGUGUCAAAGUUUAUCCUCAUUAUAUUAUGUUUCCUCUUUUGAAGGCCCACUGAGAUGAGUUUCUGCUAAUUCUCUUACAUAAAGUAGGAUGUGGAGGUCUCCGAUUCCUGCUCAGGGCUGGGAAUGGCCGCGUUCUGCAGGCUGGUGCCUCGCUGGAGCUCCAGCUGGAUGGCUCCUCUGAUGAUUGGGACUCUCUCCUGUUUGCAGUCGCCCUGAAGCUUGGGUUAGAGCAGCCAAGGAGGCUUCAGCACAUGUCCAGGCCUUGUCACAGGUGCCUGGGAAACUGGCUCAUCUGGAGUGUUGGGAUACCUGGGCCUCUGCCUUCCUUCCAUGUAGACCCAGGGCCUCAGUGUUGCCCUGGAGACUCUCCAGAAGGGCAGCUGGACAUCGGAGGUGGCGGUUCAACGCUCCCAAAAGGGCCAACGUAGAAGCUGUUGGUGCCGUGUCCCAUUUCCACCACAUUCUUUUGGUUAAAGUGGGUCACGGGGCCAAAGAGAGUCAAUGUGGGGUGAUGUGGACAGGAGUAUGAAUGUGGGAGGUCUGGGUCCCCGGGGCCUCUUUGGAGAAGAGCUACCGUCCACGGUGCUAGUGCUCGCUGAGAAUUGAGAAACAAACAAAUAAAAUAAAAUAAAAUAAAAAACUAGAGGAGGAGCCAUCUUGAAAGAGGGAUUUUAAGCUGAAUUUCGAGUCGACGGAGCUUCAGAUCCAUAGGAGACGUCCAGGAGGAGGGGGACACGGGUAGGGAUCUGUAAGUUAGGAGAGAAGCCUGGACUCGAGAUGGAGGCCGGAGCAUCCCCGUCGUGUGGCAGCUGCUCUAGGGAGACCGAGGAGAGUGAGAGGACAUGAGAGGCCAGGGUAGAAAACUGAGAAACUCUGAAAUUUAAAGAUUGGGAUUGGGAAGAAGAAGCUUAAUGGGAGGCCGCGGGGAUGAGGUCAAAGGGGUCACAGGAAAAUCAGGAGAGCUCUUUUUUUGUUCCUUUUUAAGAUUUAUUUAUUAGCAAGUCAGCGGAGGGGCAGGGGGAGAGGGAGAGAGAGACGCCCGAGCAGACGCCGCCCAGAGCACGGGGUCAGACAAGGGCUCGAGCUCAGGACCCCCGGGCUCCCGACUUGAGCGGGAAUCCGGAGUCCCACGGCACUUAACCCCCCAGACGCCCCAAGGACACCUCUGACUCGCACGAUCCAGGAAAGGUUGGCAGGGUCAGGUGCCGCCGGCCAGGCUGGAAGCCAGAACAGGCUGGUGAUGACGUCGUAACAGAACCCCGCCCCAGCCACGGCGGGAGCACUGGGGGCUCCCUGCCCUGGGCCCCGGGCUCGCAGGGCCCUGAGGAGGCCCACGCGGAGCCCUCGCCCCAGGGGCCGGGCUACGUUCAUCCCAUGUCUCCGCCAUGUGAAGGGAAGGACCCGGAGCCCCAACGGGGGGCAGCUCUCAGGGGGUCCCCGUGCCCUAGAGGCCUUGGCACAGCCGUCGCCCGCAGCUCUCCCCAAACCUGCCGGGGCCAG